UCCAAACUCCUACGGGAGGCAGCAGUGAGGAAUAUUGGUCAAUGGACGAGAGUCUGAACCAGCCAAGUAGCGUGAAGGAUGACUGCCCUAUGGGUUGUAAACUUCUUUUAUAUGGGAAUAAAAUGUUCCACGUGUGGGAUUUUGUAUGUACCAUAUGAAUAAGGAUCGGCUAACUCCGUGCCAGCAGCCGCGGUAAUACGGAGGAUCCGAGCGUUAUCCGGAUUUAUUGGGUUUAAAGGGAGCGUAGGUGGAUUGUUAAGUCAGUUGUGAAAGUUUGCGGCUCAACCGUAAAAUUGCAGUUGAAACUGGCAGUCUUGAGUACAGUAGAGGUGGGCGGAAUUCGUGGUGUAGCGGUGAAAUGCUUAGAUAUCACGAAGAACUCCGAUUGCGAAGGCAGCUCACUGGACUGCAACUGACACUGAGGCUCGAAAGUGUGGGUAUCAAACAGGAUUAGAUACCCUGGUAGUCCACACAGUAAACGAUGAAUACUCGCUGUUUGCGAUAUACAGUAA
rnacentral:rRNA from 1 species